GUGGGGAAUAUUGGACAAUGGGCGCAAGCCUGAUCCAGCCAUACCGCGUGGGUGAAGAAGGCCUUCGGGUUGUAAAGCCCUUUUGUUGGGAAAGAAAUCCUGUCGGUUAAUACCUGGCGGGGAUGACGGUACCCAAAGAAUAAGCACCGGCUAACUUCGUGCCAGCAGCCUCGGUAAUACGAAGGGUGCAAGCGUUACUCGGAAUUACUGGGCGUAAAGCGUGCGUAGGUGGUGGGUUAAGUCCGUUGUGAAAGCCCUGGGCUCAACCUGGGAAUUGCAGUGGAUACUGGAUCACUAGAGGGUGGUAGAGGGAUGCGGAAUUUCUAGUGUAGCAGUGAAAUGCGUAGAGAUCAGAAGGAACAUCCGUGGCGAAGGCGGCAUCCUGGGCCAACACUGACACUGAGGCACGAAAGCGUGGGGAGCAAACAGGAUUAGAAACCCGGGUAGUCC
rnacentral:rRNA from 1 species